rnacentral:rRNA from 1 species
GAUUAACGCUGGCGGCGUGCAUAACACAUGCAAGUCGAACGAUGAAACUUUUUUGAUUUCUUCGGAAUGAAAAAAAGUGGAUUAGUGGCGGACGGGUGAGUAACGCGUGAGUAACCUGCCUUAGAGAAGGGGAUAGCCUUUGGAAACGAAGAAUAAUACCCUAUGAAACCAUAACCUCGCAUGAGGCCUUGGUCAAAGAUUUAUCGCUCUAAGAUGGACUUGCGUCUGAUUAGUUAGUUGGUGGGGUAACGGCCCACCAAGACAGCGAUCAGUAGCCGGCUUGAGAGAGUGUACGGCCACAUUGGGACUGAGACACGGCCCAGACUCCUACGGGAGGCAGCAGUGGGGAAUUUUGCACAAUGGGGGGAACCCUGAUGCAGCGACGCCGCGUGAUUUAGAAGGCCUUCGGGUUGUAAAAAUCUUUUCUAUGGGAAGAAAAUGACAGUACCAUAGGAAUAAGGACCGGCUAAUUACGUGCCAGCAGCCGCGGUAAUACGUAAGGUCCGAGCGUUGUCCGGAAUCAUUGGGCGUGAAGGGUACGUAGGCGGGUAAGCAAGUUAGAAGUGAAAUCCUAUAGCUCAACUAUAGUAAGCUUUUAAAACUGCUCAUCUUGAGGUAUGGAAGGGAAAGUGGAAUUCCUAGUGUAGCGGUGAAAUGCGCUGAUUUAGGAGGAAUAUGCGGUGGCGAAGGCGACUUUCUGGCCAUACCUGACGCUGAGUGCGAAGGGGGGUAGCAACAUG